rnacentral:lncRNA from 1 species
AAAUAGUUAGAUUGGGGGCAGGGAAAUAAUGUGCAUGCCUGCCUAAUGCAACUUGCAAUUGUCAGUCUUUCAGAUCAGAGGAGGAGCCAAUUGAAAGCGCCAUGAAUUAGGAUCAUGGUAGAUGGUACAAGGAAAAAAAUCCAGGCAUGAUGCUCCUGUCUUGUUUUGCUUGUUCUAAUCCUUUUGUUUCUAUGACAAGGUUCUUUUGGUUAUGAGUCUUAAUGAGUUUUAGUCCCCCACUCUCCUGAAUUUAGUUUGUCUGACCAGCUGCCCCUCCCUAAACACAAUCUAAAACAUUUUGAUGUAAAAAAAACUAAUGGUUCAGUGAUAUGGGAUCUUUUGCUGGCAAUGAAUUCUCCCCAACAGUCCACUUCUCAGUCUCAGUCAAAGGACACAAUCGAAGCAAACUAGUUCAGCAUCUUUGAGAUGGAUUCAACAUCUCGAACUAGAUUCAACAUCUUGACCUUCAUCCUUUAAUAAUGCUAGACAAAAUUUAUGUCUCUUCUUGUAAUAUAUUCCCUCCGUUUCAAAUUAUAGUUCACCUUACCUUUUUCUAAGCCAAACUUCUUUAAUUUUGAUAGAGUUUAUAGAAAACGUACCAACAUCUACAAAAACUGAUUUUAACAAAAUAUUUCAUUUGAACCUAUAAGGUUAGUAGAUUUUCCGAAAAAUUUGACAAAAGUUACACAAGUUUCACUUAGGGUAAAAUCGAAAUGAAAUAAAAUUUGGAAUGGAUAGAGUAGCGCUCUCCAUUCGAUGCCUGACAAAACUAUGUUUCUUCUUAUUGAGCAUAGAGAUAGAUCCCUUCAGCGUCACACACACAUAACUGAGCUGUUGCUUGCAUUCAACUACAGGCCUUGCACAUCUCAAGGCAAAUUAAGGCUCUGAUCAAAACCAAAGAUAAACAAACUACUGCUGCCACUACAAUGGGAAGACAGCCGGGGUCCAUGGCUCAUAUAAUAAAAAAUUUCCAAAUAGCAUUAACUAACUCAACUCCGAUCCAACAUAGACCAAUCACACUUCCUCAACCGGUCAUAUACCACUUUUUAGCCAAGAUCUGCAUGCACAACUCUUCUUCUUCAAAUCUGCAUGGUUUUCAUCAGUAGUAACAUACUACUGAUGAAGUGUCAAAGUAGUACGGUCAAACAAUUUUAACUGCACAUGCCCUGUUUUCAUUAGCGAUGUAAUGGUAUUUAGUACUAGUAUUUACUGUGCUUCCUCCCUUGGAUCCUUGCGGGCCUUGGUCCUCAUUGGACCUAAUUGGGUUAGUUACAUAUUGUCAUAGUACACUGUACUGGAUAAGCUACAGCAACGACUCUUGUUUUGUAAUCUUGAGGCAUUGCUACAUUUGACCCAUCUUGGUCAUGAAGCAACUGCACAGCUUUGAACAGGCAAAGCUAACAAAGUGUACUAGUUAUAUGUAGAAAUUAAAUUAAUUACCAGGGAAGUUUGGUCAAGUUUAAUUUAUUACAGCUUCACGAAUUGUCAACUUGAUUCGAUAGGUUUACUCUUAAAAACUCAUCUAGCAUAACACGGCAGCCAGGGGAGGAGGUUAUUGGAGAGCAAGUAUCACAGUUCACAAAAAGUACAGCUAACCCCAGUCCUUAUGCUAGAAGGUCAUAUCACAUAAAUAAAAAGCAAAAUGUACUACUAUAACUUAUCCAUUGUGCCAUUCCUGAACUUUUUUUCUCCAUCCCUCCCUGGCCCCAAAGGUACCAUUCAUUAGCUUAUGACUCCCAACAAAACAAAGAUGUGACUUGUGACUGGACCAAGCAUCUGAUCAUGCAUCAUCUAUCAGGAUUCAGGAGAAGAAAAGGUAAAACAAGAACAAAGUGUGGCACCAUCACAUUCACAGGUGGAGGGUGUGAUCUGCAUUAACUUGGACAGGUGUGCACCCAUCUACCUUUUCUCCAGUCUUUAGUUGCAUGGUUCACAGGAAGGUGUUACAUUUGGCUCCUCCCUUCUCACCCUCAACAUUUAUGCCUAGGCCACUCACCUCACAUGCAUGCUUGGCUUCUUGCUUGCUCAUGCCUUGCAACCACCACCACCACCACCACCAUGGCCAUAAACACCCUUGCAUUGCACUGCACUACAUUGCAUAUGACACCUUUUAUUGGCAUGCAUGGGAUGGAUGGGUGAAUGUGUGCAAGUGUUUGUUAUGAUUAUUAUGCCCUAAUGGGUUGGAAGAAAUUCAACUAACAGGUUCAAUUGUUUCACUUUCACCAUGGCCUGGAUCUGGGACAGGCAGAUCUGCCCCCUUGCAGGAUGCUUGCUGUUACCAUGCUCCAACUGAUUCACCAUUUGUGCCACCAUGCCCAAAACCCAGCGGCUGCUGAGUUCCCCUCUGCAGGGCCAGAAACUGCAAUGGAUUCAAGCUUCACACACACUGCCUGCUGCUGCAGCUCCCCUUUUAUAAUAAUGGGAAGCAAUGAUUAACAAUGUGAGGGCAAGCUUGCUUUAUCUUUCCAUCUAUGCAGUGCAGGCCACAGUGAAGUAUAAAUAUGCCCCUGCUCUAGCCAAUGGGACACAAAAGGAGAGCUUCUUCAGCUGAAUACACUGAACCUUCACAUGAAAAGGCCUGAAAUCUUUUUCCAUGACACGCACAGAUCUUGUCGUCCUCUAAAACCACACUUAUCCAACUAAACCACACUUUAUAUGUGUAUAAUCACAUGCUUUUUACAUAGUUUAUUAUCACUUCAAUUCGCUCCAGCCAAUGGUUGCAAAGAGACAGCUCUGUUUCUUUGCUAAGACAAUGAUGUCUUUGUUGUUAAUCAAGCUCCUUUUUUUCCCCCUUGGUACAGUGCAAUGGAAUCUAUGGAGAGCUCAGUUCUGGUAAGUGCACAGAAUGAGGGGGCAGACCAGUUAUCCCCUCCCCUCACUCUGGGCCUGCCUGCUGACAGCCUGCACAUGGCCUCAUGGGAUCAAAUCUCAUUGUUAAAGGCUUGCAAAUCUUGCAAACAUGGCUUGGCACACACUACUAUAGUGGUUUCCCUUAUUCCACUCCCAGCUGUUCCUAGAACUAAUCUGGGUUAACUGCUUGGAGGGCUUUUCAAAUGCUCACAGAUCAGGGAAAGGUUAGAGGCUAUGAGGACACAACCAUUGCUGCUUGUUCCUACCAUUUGAUCUGCAAAAUUUUCAGAAGUAACAAAUCUAAGAUGGAUGCCCUCCUCUACACUACAUCUACUGCAGUUUCCUUCAUCUCCAGCUCAUAGAAAUAGUUUCUUUCAUAUGACAUAUGAGUAAGCUAAGCAGUUGGCAAUUGGCAUGCAUGAACCUAAUCUCUCAUGCCUCUAAUUUAAAAGGCAGACCUUGGGACCAUGCAUUGGAUGUUGUGAACUGUAUCAGUAUUCUCUUGCUCUCCAUCAGAGAAGGUGAUUAACAAAACAGCAUGAGUUUCUCGCAGGGUAAACUAUUCAACUGGUGUAGUAAUUAAGUAGUAAUUUGCUUGGAUUUAACAACCAGAAUGAGGUGAGUGACAUGCACAGAGAGUAAGCAGCAGACCAGACAUCUCUGGGUGCAUCACAAACAGCAGCACCCUCUGCUCCCAGAUUUGGUAGUAUAUCACCACUUGUGCUAUCCACUGAAUAAGCUGUGGAGGCAAACUGAAGCGCGCACACCCAUCUAUACAUGAUUCCCCUGUGUGCACCUCU